GUCCCUGUAGUGCAAUCGAUAGCGCGUUGGACUUCUAAUCCAAAGUUCGUUGGCUCGAAUCCUACCUGGGAUA